ACGAACGUUGGCGGCGUGGAUUAGGCAUGCAAGUCGAACGAAUGCCUUGGGGGUAACUCUGAGGCGGAAGUGGCGAGAGGGGCAGUAAUGCAUGGGUAACCUACCCUGGAGUCAGGCAUAGCCGUCCUAACGGACGGGUAAUUCUUGACGGCCCAGCGAGGAGGCAUCUUCUUGUUGGUAAAGAAUUUCGCUCUGGGAGGGGCCCAUGUCGUAUUAGCUAGUUGGCGGGGUAACGGCCCACCAAGGCUAAGAUGCGUAGCGGGUGUGAGAGCACGACCCGCGCCACUGGCACUGAGACACUGGCCAGACACCUACGGGUGGCUGCAGUCGAGGAUCUUCGUCAAUGGGCGAAAGCCUGAACGAGCGACGCCGCGUGCGCGAUGAAGGCCUUCGGGUUGUAAAGCGCGAAAGUGGGGACGAAGCCGAAAGGUUGACCGAUCCACAGUAAGCUCGGGCUAAGUUCGU
rnacentral:rRNA from 1 species